GGGGAUUUAGUUCAGUGGCAUAGCACCUGCCUGGCAAGCAUGAGCUCCUGAGUUUGAUCCUUGGUACUCCCCA
rnacentral:tRNA from 1 species